CCUACGGGUGGCAGCAGUGGGGAAUAUUGGGCAAUGGGCGCAAGCCUGACCCAGCAACGCCGCGUGAAGGAAGAAGGCUUUCGGGUUGUACAAUUCUUUUCUCAGGGACGAAGCAAGUGACGGUACCUGAGGAAUAAGCCACGGCUAACUCCGUGCCAGCAGCCGCGGUAAUACGUAGGUGGCAAGCGUUAUCCGGAUUUACUGGGUGUAAAGGGGGGGGAGGCGGGGACGCAAGUCAGAUGUGAAAACCACGGGCUCAACCUGUGGCCUGAUGUUGAAACUGUGUUUCUUGAGUACUGGGGAGGCAGACGGAAUUCCUGGUGUAGCGGUGAAAUGCGUGGAUAUAGGAGGAACACCAGUGGCGAAGGCGGUCUGCUGGACAGCAACUGACGCUGAGGCGCGAAAGCGUGGGGAGCAAACAGGAUUAGAUACCCGGGUAGUC
rnacentral:rRNA from 1 species